GCUAUUUUGGCUGUUUUGUACUUGGUGGAGCAGAAAGAAUGCUAAAGCAGGAAUGCAGGUGAUUCUGAAGCUCGGCCUUGAAGGGAUCACCACUAGAUAUUUUCCCUUAUGGUCUCUGCAGGACAAUAGACCAAGGAGAACCCAGAUUUUCUGUGGAUAUUCAACCCUUAUACUCAAUGCAGCUCAAUAACUCAAGAAACAUUGAUCAAAUCUCUCAGAGGUGAGUCUGGAUUCAUCCAAGCCAUCUCCCUUAUUGGUCAGGGCUUAAGACAAUUCAUGCUUGAUA
rnacentral:lncRNA from 1 species